CCUACGGGUGGCUGCAGUGGCGAAUAUUGGACAAUGGGGGCAACCCUGAUCCAGCCAUGCCGCGUGUGUGAAGAAGGCCCUCGGGUUGUAAAGCACUUUCAGUGAGGAAGAACGCCUGGUGGUUAAUACCCAUCAGGAAAGACAUCACUCACAGAAGAAGCACCGGCUAACUCCGUGCCAGCAGCCGCGGUAAUACGGAGGGUGCGAGCGUUAAUCGGAAUUACUGGGCGUAAAGCGCGCGUAGGUGGCUUGAUAAGCCGGUUGUGAAAGCCCCGGGCUCAACCUGGGAACGGCAUCCGGAACUGUCAAGCUAGAGUGCAGGAGAGGAAGGUAGAAUUCCCGGUGUAGCGGUGAAAUGCGUAGAGAUCGGGAGGAAUACCAGUGGCGAAGGCGGCCUUCUGGACUGAAACUGACACUGAGGUGCGAAAGCGUGGGUAGCAAACAGGAUUAGAUACCCCAGUAGUC
rnacentral:rRNA from 1 species